rnacentral:rRNA from 1 species
AGUGAACGCUGGCGGUAGGCCUAACACAUGCAAGUCGAACGGCAGCACAGUAAGAGCUUGCUCUUACGGGUGGCGAGUGGCGGACGGGUGAGGAAUACAUCGGAAUCUACUUUUUCGUGGGGGAUAACGUAGGGAAACUUACGCUAAUACCGCAUACGACCUACGGGUGAAAGCAGGGGAUCUUCGGACCUUGCGCGAUUGAAUGAGCCGAUGUCGGAUUAGCUAGUUGGCGGGGUAAAGGCCCACCAAGGCGACGAUCCGUAGCUGGUCUGAGAGGGUGAUCAGCCACACUGGAACUGAGACACGGUCCAGACUCCUACGGGAGGCAGCAGUGGGGAAUAUUGGACAAUGGGCGCAGGCCUGAUCCAGCCAUACCGCGUGGGUGAAGAAGGCCUUCGGGUUGUAAAGCCCUUUUGUUGGGAAAGAAAAGCAGCAGGUUAAUACCCCGCUGUUCUGACGGUACCCAAAGAAUAAGCACCGGCUAACUUCGUG